UACAGAGGGGGCAAGCGUUGUUCGGAAUUACUGGGCGUAAAGGGCUCGUAGGCGGCCAACUAAGUCAGACGUGAAAUCCCUCGGCUUAACCGGGGAACUGCGUCUGAUACUGGAUGGCUAGAGAUUGGGAGAGGGAUGCGGAAUUCCAGGUGUAGCGGUGAAAUGCGUAGAUAUCUGGAGGAACACCGGUGGCGAAGGCGGCAUCCUGGACCAACACUGACGCUGAGGAGCGAAAGCCAGGGGAGCAAACGGG
rnacentral:rRNA from 1 species